rnacentral:rRNA from 1 species
AGCGGCGGACGGGUGAGUAAUGCCUAGGAAUCUGCCUGGUAGUGGGGGAUAACGUCCGGAAACGGGCGCUAAUACCGCAUACGUCCUGAGGGAGCAAAGUGGGGGAUCUUCGGACCUCACGCUAUCAGAUGAGCCUAGGUCGGAUUAGCUAGUUGGUGGGGUAAAGGCCUACCAAGGCGACGAUCCGUAACUGGUCUGAGAGGAUGAUCAGUCACACUGGAACUGAGACACGGUCCAGACUCCUACGGGCAGGCAGCAGUGGGGAAUAUUGGCACAAUGGGCGAAAGCCUGAUCCAGCCAUGCCGCGUGUGUGAAGAAGGUCUUCGGAUUGUAAAGCACUUUAAGUUGGGAGGAAGGGCAGUAAGUUAAUACCUUGCUGUUUUGACGUUACCAACAGAAUAAGCACCGGCUAACUUCGUGCCAGCAGCCGCGGUAAUACGAAGGGUGCAAGCGUUAAUCGGAAUUACUGGGCGUAAAGCGCGCGUAGGUGGUUCAGCAAGUUGGAUGUGAAAUCCCCGGGCUCAACCUGGGAACUGCAUCCAAAACUACUGAGCUGGAGUACGGUAGAGGGUGGUGGAAUUUCCUGUGUAGCGGUGAAAUGCGUAGAUAUAUGAAGGAACACCAGUGGCGAAGGCGACUUUCUGGUCUGUAACUGACGCUGAUGUGCGAAAGCGUGGGGAUCAAACAGGAUUAGAUACCCUGGUAGUCCACGCCGUAAACGAUGAGUGCUAAGUGUUAGGGGGUUUCCGCCCCUUAGUGCUGCAGCUACGCAUUAAGCACUCCGCCUGGGAGAGUACGACCGCAAG